UAUUUCCUACUCCUGGAUGAUAUAGUAGAGAUGAAAGGACCUACUAUCCAAAAUUUGCUUCAGACGUUGACCCUGAUGAUACCAUCCAGCACCUGGAAGGCGAACCACUCAACAUCACAGUAAUUCAAGUCUAUGC